AGAGUUUGAUCAUGGCUCAGAUUGAACGCUGGCGGCAUGCCUUACACAUGCAAGUCGAACGGUAACGGGCCUUCGGGUGCCGACGAGUGGCGAACGGGUGAGUAAUACAUCGGAACGUACCCUGAAGUGGGGGAUAACGUAGCGAAAGUUACGCUAAUACCGCAUAUUCUGUGAGCAGGAAAGAGGGGGGAUCGCAAGACCUCUUGCUUUAGGAGCGGCCGAUGUCGGAUUAGCUAGUUGGUGAGGUAAAGGCUCACCAAGGCGACGAUCCGUAGCGGGUCUGAGAGGAUGAUCCGCCACACUGGGACUGAGACACGGCCCAGACUCCUACGGGAGGCAGCAGUGGGGAAUUUUGGACAAUGGGCGCAAGCCUGAUCCAGCCAUGCCGCGUGAGUGAAGAAGGCCUUCGGGUUGUAAAGCUCUUUCGGUGGGGAAGAAAUGGCACGGGUUAAUACCCUGUGUUGAUGACGGUACCCGCAUAAGAAGCACCGGCUAACUACGUG
rnacentral:rRNA from 1 species